rnacentral:rRNA from 1 species
GAGUUUGAUCCUGGCUCAGGACGAACGCUGGCGGCGUGCCUAAUACAUGCAAGUCGAACGCUUUUAUCUCACCGGGUGCUUGCACCCACCGAGAUAAAGGAGUGGCGGACGGGUGAGUAACACGUGGGUAACCUACCCAUAAGUGGGGGAUAACAUUCGGAAACGGAUGCUAAUACCGCAUAUCUCUAUUGGCCUCAUGGCCAAGUGAUGAAAGGCGGCUUCGGCUGUCGCUUAUGGAUGGACCCGCGGCGCAUUAGUUAGUUGGUGAGGUAACGGCUCACCAAGACGAUGAUGCGUAGCCGACCUGAGAGGGUGAUCGGCCAUACUGGGACUGAGACACGGCCCAGACUCCUACGGGAGGCAGCAGUAGGGAAUCUUCCGCAAUGGACGAAAGUCUGACGGAGCAACGCCGCGUGAGUGAAGAAGGUUUUCGGAUCGUAAAACUCUGUUGUUAGAGAAGAACAAGGAUGAGAGUAACUGCUCGUCCCUUGACGGUAUCUAACCAGAAAGCCAUGGCUAACUACGUGCCAGCAGCCGCGGUAAUACGUAGAUGGCAAGCGUUGUCCGGAUUUAUUGGGCGUAAAGCGAGUGCAGGCGGUUCUUUAAGUCUGAUGUGAAAGCCCCUGGCUUAACCAGGGAGGGUCAUUGGAAACUGGAGGACUUGAGUGCAGAAGAGGAAGUGGAAUUCCAUGUGUAGCGGUGAAAUGCGUAGAUAUAUGGAGGAACACCAGUGGCGAAGGCGACUUUCUGGUCUGUAACUGACGCUGAGACUCGAAAGCAUGGGGAGCAAACAGGAUUAGAUACCCUGGUAGUCCAUGCCGUAAACGAUGAGUGCUAAGUGUUGGAGGGUUUCCGCCCUUCAGUGCUGCAGCUAACGCAUUAAGCACUCCGCCUGGGGAGUACGGCCGCAAGGCUGAAACUCAAAGGAAUUGACGGGGGCCCGCACAAGCGGUGGAGCAUGUGGUUUAAUUCGAAGCAACGCGAAGAACCUUACCAGGUCUUGACAUCCUUUGACCACUCUAGAGAUAGAGCUUUCCCUUCGGGGACAAAGUGACAGGUGGUGCAUGGUUGUCGUCAGCUCGUGUCGUGAGAUGUUGGGUUAAGUCCCGCAACGAGCGCAACCCUUAUUAUUAGUUGCCAGCAUUCAGUUGGGCACUCUAGUGAGACUGCCGGUGACAAACCGGAGGAAGGUGGGGAUGACGUCAAAUCAUCAUGCCCCUUAUGACCUGGGCUACACACGUGCUACAAUGGAUGGUACAACGAGUUGCGAAACAGUGAUGUUUAGCUAAUCUCUUAAAGCCAUUCUCAGUUCGGAUUGUAGGCUGCAAUUCGCCUACAUGAAGCCGGAAUCGCUAGUAAUCGCGGAUCAGCACGCCGCGGUGAAUACGUUCCCGGGCCUUGACACACCGCCCGUC